rnacentral:lncRNA from 1 species
UUGAAGUCCAGUAGUGAUGGGAAACACGAGUUUGGGUUAAAAGGAAAGCUCAGAUUCUCACCUCUAACCUGUGCUUCUGCCUUCUUUUGGCCUCACUUUAAGUUUCCUCCCAUGCCUAAGUGGAACCAUCCCCCUUUGCCCAAGUUUCCACUUCCCCCAUUCAAAGGCUUCCACCACCAUUAUCCAAUAAUCCCUCCCAUCUACAAGAAACCUCUUCCGCCACCGUCCCCGGUGUACAAGCCCCCUCCAGUUCCCGUAAACCCACCUGUUCCAAUCUAUAAACCUCCACCAGUUCCAGUCUAUAAACCUCCUCCAGUUCCAGUAAAACCACUUCCUCCACCUGUUCCGAUCUACAAACCUCCACCAGUUGAAAAACCACAUCCUCCACCUGUUCCAAUCUACAAACCUCCACCAGUUGAAAAACCACAUCCUCCACCUGUUCCAAUCUACAAACCUCCACCAGUUGAAAAACCACAUCCUCCACCUGUUCCAGUUUAUAAACCUCCACCAGUUGAAAAACCACAUCCUCCACCUGUUCCAGUCUAUAAACCUCCACCAGUUCCAGUAUAUAAGAAACCAUGUCCUCCACCAGUUCCAGUCUAUAAAUCUCCUCCGGUUCCAGUAUACAAGAAACCGCAUCCUCCUCCAGUUCCAGUCUAUAAGAAACCACAUCCACCUCCAGUUCCAGUAUACAAGAAACCAUGUCCUCCCCCAGUUCCAGUCUAUAAAUCUCCUCCAGUUCCGGAACCACAUCCUCCGCCAGUUCCAGUCCAUAAGCCUCCUCCAGUUCCGGUAUACAAGAAACGAGUCCCUCCUCCGGUUCCAAUCUACAAGCCCCCUCCAGUUCCUGUAUACAACAAACCACUACCUCCCCGGGUUCCAGUGUAUACGAAGCCACUUCCACCACCUGUUCCAACCUACAAUCCAAAACCCCUCCCUCCCAUUCCUUACAAGCCACUCCCUCCACUUCCCAAGAUCCCUCCAUUCCCUAAGAAGCCAUGCCCUCCCCUUCCUAAGCUACCUCCUCUUCCCAAGAUUCCUCCCAAGUAUUUCCACCACCACCCUCCUCUUCCUAAGCUGCCUCCUCUCCCUAAGAUUCCUCCCAAGUAUUUCCACCACCACCCCAAGUUCGGAAAAUGGCCUCCUUUGCCACCCUUUGCUCCCCAUCAUCCUUAAGCUAUCUUGCAUUGUUUUACGCAUUUAAUGAAGGUGGUUAGUGUGAACAAGUUCCCCAGCAGUACCUCAUGCAAUAAAUGUAGCAACAAAAGAAG